GACGGAGGAUGCAAACGUUAUCCGGAAUGAUUGGGCGUAAAGCGUCCGCAGGUGGCAGUUCAAGUCUGCUGUCAAAGACCGGGGCUUAACUUCGGAAAGGCAGUGGAAACUGAACAGCUAGAGUAUGGUAGGGGCAGAGGGAAUUCCUGGUGUAGCGGUGAAAUGCGUAGAGAUCAGGAAGAACAUCGGUGGCGAAGGCGCUCUGCUGGACCAUAACUGACACUCAGGGACGAAAGCUAGGGGAGCGAAUGGG
rnacentral:rRNA from 1 species